rnacentral:tRNA from 1 species
UCCGAUAUGGUGUAGUGGCUAACAUUAUCGCCUUUCAUAUGACAGCUUAACAGCACGUUCAGAUCGCGAUAGCCCGGGGUUCAAUUCCCCGUGUCGGAA